AUGCACCUUGGGACACCCCAGUACCAUGACCUGCUAGGUCCAUGGGCCCCUGGGCGGGGGUCCCACGGCUUCCCUCCUUCCUCAGGACCCAUUGUCCCGGUACUGGUCUUUCCCCCUAUCUAGUAUUCAGGGCAGACCAAAGAAGUGGAUCCCGGCAAAUCAUCUGCAACCCCUCGGGAACUCCGCUUCGCUUCCGAGUUCUGUGUACAGCACCUGCCAAAUAUAUGGUAUUCGAUGCGGAGGGAUAUGUGAAGCCUCAGUCCUGCAUUGAGAUUGUGAUAAGGCAUGUGGCUCACAUUCCUAGCCACUAUGAUGUCCAGGACCGAUUCCACAUUGAGCUAUCUGAGGAGGGGGCCGAGUAAUGAAUGAGUGGUUGGAAGAAAGGACAUCACCUCUGUUCUUCCGGCCCCAGCAUACCCCUUGGAGCUUCAGGGGCAUUCUGAAUGAACGUCCAACCCAGGACCUCCUGCGUGGACAGGAACAACCCCAGCCAGACAUCUUCAUGAGAAUGCCCCCCCCCCACCCCGCAGCAGCUGGCCGCCAGCUCCUUCCUGCUCUUCUUCCUGACAGGCAUCAUCUCUAUGGCCUGCCUGCUACUGCUACUGCAGGAUGAACUUGGCAGCCAGCUGCCUCAAGUCCUGCAUGUGUCCAUAGGACAGAAGUUGGUCGUGGCCUACAUCUUAGACCUCCUCAACAUGGUGUUCCUCCGGACCUGAGCUCUUAGCCCAACCCACCUCACCCACCCUCCCCUUCGCAGGCAGGGACCUAAGGCAGCCACUGUGAUGUCUGCACCUUGCUCCUCCUCCCUCC